rnacentral:rRNA from 1 species
GUGGGGAAUCUUCCGCAAUGGACGAAAGUCUGACGGAGCAACGCCGCGUGAACGAUGACGGCCUUCGGGUUGUAAAGUUCUGUUAUACGGGACGAAUGGCGUAGCGGUCAAUACCCGUUACGAGUGACGGUACCGUAAGAGAAAGCCACGGCUAACUACGUGCCAGCAGCCGCGGUAAUACGUAGGUGGCAAGCGUUGUCCGGAAUUAUUGGGCGUAAAGGGCGCGCAGGCGGCGUCGUAAGUCGGUCUUAAAAGUGCGGGGCUUGACCCCGUGAGGGGACCGAAACUGCGAUGCUAGAGUAUCGGAGAGGAAAGCGGAAUUCCUAGUGUAGCGGUGAAAUGCGUAGAUAUUAGGAGGAACACCAGUGGCGAAAGCGGCUUUCUGGACGACAACUGACGCUGAGGCGCGAAAGCCAGGGGAGCAAACGGGAUUAGAAACCCUGGUAGUCC